rnacentral:lncRNA from 1 species
AUGAGGGUAAGAGAUUCAGGCCUCUGCGUCUGGCAGCGAGUAAAUUGUGCAGCAGGAGGACAUGAGCUAGGGCUGCUUGCUCAGGAGACCAAGGUGGAUGAUGUACCGAGACUUCGCUUCUGCACGUCAGAUCCUGUGCUUUGGCUCUCGCUGUCGGGAAUUGACCCAUCCCAUGGGAUGAUGCAAUCUGUGCCGGUGCUGCACAUUUUUAGGAGCUCAUGGCUGUACGGACCUUCGCCUUUAAGACAUGGGAGGCGCGAUCGGAUUUCGAGGUGUAACUGAAACGGCUUUGACAUCUCUCAGUCUGAAACCGAUGACUCCCCAGAGACGGAGAGCUGAGGAACCCGCAAUGUGCCCCUGUGUGCCGGCUACGCCCUUGUCAGAACAGCAGCCUUUCAUCACAGCUGGGAUGCAUAAGAACAAUGUGUAACCAAUGUCAGUGUGUAACAGUCUCCCAUGGUCUUAAAAAUCCCAAAAAAUGGCACAAUGGCUUCACACUGGGAGUGCAGAGCAAGGUCUAGUUCAUAUCAGUGCUGGUCAUGCUGGAAUUUUACUGCUCUCUCUCACAUGCAGCUGGGUCUGUGAUAGCUGUACACUAUGGUAACUAUACAGAAACAGUGCAUGUCUAUGAAUGUGUGUGAUUGCAAGGGGUGCAAGGGGCUGUUUGCAGCUGCACUGGUGGAGUGGGCACAUUCUUACAAGUAUAUGUGUGUGCCCACGCAUGUGGGGGCAUUGCAAGGGAACUGCUGCUGUAGAGGUUUUUGGUGGGUUAUAAAUAACCCAGGCUCUGGUUUCUGCAGCUGUCACCACGUUUAACUUCAGCACCUUGUGCUUUUCUUCGACUGCUCAGCCAUAAUUAUAAACUUACCGAGACUCCAUAGGCUGCCUCCAUCACACUUUCAUUCCGCUCCUGUUCUGCCCACCCUUGCCCUGUCACUGUCACUGUCACUGUCACUGUCUUGGUCUCUGGCGCAACGGGGGCAAAACUCUACCCCCUACACAUACCUGCUGCCUGUGUGUGUGGGGGCCCAAGUGUCAAAUAAAAUAAUACAAGAUUCCA